AACGAACGCUGGCGGCAUGCCUAACACAUGCAAGUCGAACGAGACCUUCGGGUCUAGUGGCGCACGGGUGCGUAACGCGUGGGAACCUGCCCUUAGGUUCGGAAUAACUCCCCGAAAGGGGUGCUAAUACCGGAUAAUGUCUUCGGACCAAAGAUUUAUCGCCUUUGGAUGGGCCCGCGUUGGAUUAGCUUGUUGGUAGGGUAAAAGCCUACCAAGGCGACGAUCCAUAGCUGGUCUGAGAGGAUGAUCAGCCACACUGGGACUGGGACACGGCCCAGACUCCUACGGGAGGCAGCAGUGGGGAAUAAUGGACAAUGGGCGAAAGCCUGAUCCAGCAAUGCCGCGUGAGUGAUGAGGGGCUUAGGGUUGUAAAGCUCUUUUACCCGGGAUGAUAAUGACAGUACCGGGAGAAUAAGCUCCGGCUAACUCCGU
rnacentral:rRNA from 1 species